rnacentral:rRNA from 1 species
GACGAACGCUGGCGGCGUGCUUAACACAUGCAAGUCGCACGGAAAGGCCCUGCAUUUGUGGGGUGCUCGAGUGGCGAACGGGUGAGUAACACGUGAGUAACCUGCCCUUGACUUUGGGAUAACUUCAGGAAACUGGGGCUAAUACCGGAUAGGAGCUCCUGCUGCAUGGUGGGGGUUGGAAAGUUGCGGCGGUUGGGGAUGGACGCGCGGCUUAUCAGCUUGUUGGUGGGGUAGUGGCUUACCAAGGCUUUGACGGGUAGCCGGCCUGAGAGGGUGAACGGCGACAUUGGGACUGAGAUACGGCCCAGACUCCUAAGGGAGGCAGCAGGGGGGAAGAUUGUACAAUGGGCGGAAGCCGGAUGCAGCAACGUCGCGUGCGGGAUGACGGCCUUCGGGUUGUAAACCGUUUUCGCCUGUGACGAAGCGUGAGUGACGGUAAUGGGUAAAGAAGCACCGGCUAACUACGUG